AAGAAACACCUGUUCCUGUUGCCGCCUCGUGAUGGCACUGCUGCGGACAGCGAGAGUAAGCAUGGCUACUGAACUCAAUUAGAGUUUUAUUUUGGUUUAAAGAAACGACGACUAAACAAUUAAGCAGAGGAGGACGGUGAAGAGGAACACUUUGAAGACAAGUCUUGGAAUGAAAACAACAACGGCAGUGAGCGAUUAAAUGAACUGCCCCAUCCGCUAGUUUAACAAGGCUAAUGCUAGUGACCUAAACACAAACAAAUAUUAAGGAGGGCCAAGUCUUAAGCAAGGCAGAUACACCAGACCAUUUCAGUCACCUGGCGCAUACCCUUGGGAUGGAUGUUUCUGUGCAGAAGAGGAAACAACACAGUAUAAGUCAGCAGUUUAGUCGAUGCAGAGGGAGUCUACACGAGACGCCUGCAGCUGCGUGUAUUGAGACGACGGCAGUAUUCUGUACCUGGCCUCUUUGUGGCAUAUAGAUGGCAACCAUAAACUCAUCAGGUUUAUGAAGACUAUGGGAUCGACUGAAACGGACCUCACAGUCUUCAUGGAGGCAUUGUGUCAGUCCCCGAGGUUCAGCUGGCCCGUGAGCUCUCAGAUGAAGAGGUUGCUAUUUUGCCAGCUCCAGGAGUUUCUGUAACUGAUGCACUUAGAUCAUAUGUAGAGACUGCAAGUGUUAUCAAGAAUCAUAGCAGACUGAUGUCCAACCCAUGCUUUUAUUUAGCAUGAUAGAACAAGCAAGGAUAAACUGAAAGUUUGCUUUCCUUAAGAAGAAUAAAAGAAAGAAAGCUGUUUUACUUUGAAGCUCUACCAUAAUUACUGUUAUGAUCUCGCAAAUGGACUUCCUGAACAGCGUUUCUGAACACACUCCUUUACUUCCCGUCUCAUUAUUGUCCACAGAAUGAAUAACAUGAAUGAUGUUCUGUCAACACUGAAGAUGCAGAACUGUUUGGUUUCAGUAAAUGGAAAAAAUAUGUUGCAUAAAACAAUAGUCAACUAUUGCACGGUGUGUUAAAGACACUGAACUUGUGUCAAUUGACCUGACUGAACAGUGCAUGAAAUGACAUCUGUUUGAAAAAAACUGAAACAAGUCCAAAUCCACUCUGCACUAUUUAUGGCAGAGACAAGUGCUUUCUCAAAGUCCAUGUAGGUUUUGAAAUGAGCUGGCAGCUUGAGUGUUUCAAAGCAUGUAGGAAAAGUUCCCCCAGAAAUCUCCACUUACAGCUCAGGAGGAAGCAUCUCCCAGCCAACCCAGAAUGUCAGCAGCUGAGCCAGUGUACCUGAUGAAGCUGAAAGUCAUAAAAUAGAUUCAAGAAAACAUUUAGUUCGACUUUAAUUAAUCAUAUUUAUCCAUGACACAUUAAGGCAUUUGUAAAGAGAACAAUACAUUAGCCAAAUAAGGUGUUAAUACCCAUUUCAAUGAACAUCCUUAGAAAGCCAGUGACGCGGCACGUGGACUCUAGGUCAAAGUCUUCAUCAUCACUGUCCUCAACUGGCCAUGUGAUUUUUUUGUAGGAGCAUCUUAAAUAAAAACAAAUAUUAAUUAUUUUAAAAAGGGAGAACUUAUUUUGGUGAAGGAAUAUGCAGAUCACAUUCAAUCAAAUAUAACUGAAUUACUGACUUACCUGAGGUGUGAACUGCAUUUCAGCCAUUUUGGGGAAAAGAAGUGAGACCACAUCUGGCCUAGAUGUCAGCAGGGGCCAUACCAUCACAUCUUUCAGUCCCUUUCUGAACUGUUUAAUUUGGCGCAUGGUCCUCCCAAGGACCUAAGAGACCGAUAUUUCAGCCCAAAUCCUCAACCCAAAUACAGUAGGGAAAAUGUUCAUAAAAGCACAAUAAAGUGCUUUAUAAAAUCCAUUCAAACUCGAGAACAGAAUAUAUGAACCCCUUAUAAGACAUUUACGCAUUUUAGAAUGUUUGCAGCUAUUCCGAUGUGUAUAUUUCCAGGACGUCCCUUCAUUUCACAACACAUCGCAUUGUACCUGGAUAACAAGUAACUAUUGGAUGAAUGGGGAAAUUCCACUUUCUACAUUUCAGCAACUGGUGUCUAGUGCUCGAAUGCUUAAAAACUAAAUGAAAGAGAAGUUAACAAUGGUGAACUCUUGACCAUCACCUUUUUAAAGUAGAUUAUCAAAAGGCCAGACGUGUGUUGUUGAGCUGCUCUCAAUGUACCGUAGUGUGAUUUUUUUGUAAAGGAUUACAUUUAGUUUUUUGUGAUCAUUUUUCCUACUUUGUCCACAUUUGUGAAAUUGAGGUUUUGUUAAAUAUGCCACUGUCCUAUCAACGCUUGCAGGCGUAAGAAAUGUAGUAGUAAAACUGUAUACAG